UACGAAGGGGGCUAGCGUUGCUCGGAAUCACUGGGCGUAAAGCGCACGUAGGCGGCUUCUUAAGUCGGGGGUGAAAUCCUGGAGCUCAACUCCAGAACUGCCUUCGAUACUGGCGACCUUGAGUCCGGGAGAGGUGAGUGGAACUCCGAGUGUAGAGGUGAAAUUCGUAGAUAUUCGGAAGAACACCAGUGGCGAAAGGCGGCUCACUGGCCCGGUACUGACGCUGAGGUGCGAAAGCGUGGGGAGCAAACAGGG
rnacentral:rRNA from 1 species